GACGAACGCUGGCGGCGUGCUUAACACAUGCAAGUCGAGCGGAGCGGCGAACGGGGGAGCAACGCGUGAGUAACUGCCCCCCUCUCUGGGAUAACAGUUGGAAACGGCUGCUAAUACCGGAUAGUGGGGGAUGACUCGCGUCCUAUAGGCUUGUUGGGGGGGUAGUGGCAUACCAAGGCGACGACGGGUAGCCGGCCUGAGAGGGCGACCGGCCACAUUGGGCUGAGAGACGGCGCAGACGCGUACGGGGGGCAGCGGUGGGGAAUAUGGCACAAUGGGGUAAACCCUGAUGCAGCGACGCCGCGUGCGGGAUGACGGCCGUCGGGUUGUAAACCGCUUGCAGCCAUGACGCGGUAGUGGCAGAAGAAGCACCGGCUAACUACGUGCCAGCAGCCGCGGUAAUUC
rnacentral:rRNA from 1 species